AUUAUUGAAUAAACCUGAUGUGAUUGUUAGCUGGCUUUUCGAAGCAUGUGCUCAUCCGUCAUCUUUAUCUCUCCACCUGUGCACAUUUUGUAGUCUUGGAUACCUCUCGAGGAAACUCGGAUUUUAGAAUCGCUGUGCUGUACAAGUCGGCUUUUCUUUCAUUUCCAAGACUAUGUUUUUAUAUACACCAAAGUAUGUUUAUAGAAUGUCAUCAAUGGGAACUUGUUUCCUAUAAAAUUAUACAACUUUCAGCAACGGAUCUCUUGGCUCUCGCAUCGAUGAAGAACGCAGCGAAAUGCGAUAAGUAAUGUGAAUUGCAGAAUUCAGUGAAUCAUCGAAUCUUUGAACGCACCUUGCGCUCCUUGGUAUUCCGAGGAGCAUGCCUGUUUGAGUGUCAUUAAAUUCUCAACCUUCCAACUUUUAUUAGCUUGGUUAGGCUUGGAUGUGGGGGUUGCGGGCUUCAUUAAUGAGGUCGGCUCUCCUUAAAUGCAUUAGCGGAACUUUUGUGGACCGUCUAUUGGUGUGAUAAUUAUCUACGCCGUGGAUGUGAAGCAGCUUUAUGAAGUUCUGCUUCUAACCGUCCAUUGACUUGGACAAUNUUGAUAAUUUGACCUCAAAUCAGGUAGGACUACCCGCUGAACUUAAGCAUAUCAAUAAGCGGAGGAAAAGAAACUAACAAGGAUUCCCCUAGUAACUGCGAGUGAAGCGGGAAAAGCUCAAAUUUAAAAUCUGGCAGUCUUUGGCUGUCCGAGUUGUAAUCUAGAGAAGUAUUAUCCGCGCUGGACCGUGUACAAGUCUCCUGGAAUGGAGCGUCAUAGAGGGUGAGAAUCCCGUCUUUGACACGGACUGCCAGGGCUUUGUGAUAUGCUCUCGAAGAGUCGAGUUGUUUGGGAAUGCAGCUCAAAAUGGGUGGUAAAUUCCAUCUAAAGCUAAAUAUUGGCGAGAGACCGAUAGCGAACAAGUACCGUGAGGGAAAG
rnacentral:rRNA from 1 species